UACAGAGGAGCCAAGCGUUGUUCGGAUUUACUGGGCUUAAAGAGUUCGUAGGCGGUUCGGUAAGUGAGGUGUGAAAGCCCUCGGCUCAACCGAGGAAUUGCGCUUCAAACUGCCGGGCUCGAGGGAGAUAGAGGUGAGCGGAACUGAUGGUGGAGCGGUGAAAUGCGUUGAUAUCAUCAGGAACACCAGAGGCGAAGGCGGCUCACUGGGUCUCUUCUGACGCUGAGGAACGAAAGCUAGGGGAGCAAACGGG
rnacentral:rRNA from 1 species